UUUUUCUCUCGGUCUCCUUUCAAAGCCCCUCUUUUUAUAAACAAGAACAACUACGAAAUCUGCUUUUAUUUCAACCGAAAAUCAAGACCGUUUCUACUAAAACCUGGUAUCCUAAUCAAAACCCAUCUAUCAGAAACCUAAAUCUACGUUAUGAGAACUUGAACUUUUUUAGCAACCCUAGAAUAUCUUGUUCCUGAAAUCCAAAAAACCCCUCAAUCUAAUAGUCGAAUAUGCUUCUAUUGACCAAAAAUUGAUUGAUUCUUACCUAAUUUAUCAUCAGGGUUAUGUCAUUUACCGUGUACGUGUAAGACGUGGUGGUUGCAAGAGGCCAGUUCCAAAGGGUAUUGUCUACGGGAAUCCAAAGAACCAAGGUAUUACCCAACUAGAAUUCCGGAGGAACAAGAGGUCAGUUGCUGAGGAACGCGUUGGACGUAAAUUGGGUGGUCCAAAGUUCUUAACUCUUACUGGAUUAAUGAGGGAAGCACAGUUUCUUGAGAAGUCUAUUUGCUUGGGUUUUCACUAUCUGUGAUUGUGUUUGUUGGCCAUAUUUUGAGACAUGGAACGCGGGGGUUCUAGGUCCAGUCAUCUUGAGUGAUCUCAAUGAGGGAAGAAGAGAUUUAUCGUGGCAAAAAUGGUUGUACAAGAUUGGGUUAGAAGGCGAAGCUUUGGCUCUUCAUUCCCCGGGUGGGAGUUCCACACUUUUGAAUGGGUAGAAGCAUCUUUAGCAGCUCAGAAACAACAUUUAACAUGGAACAAGGUUAG